rnacentral:rRNA from 1 species
UAGGGAAUCUUCGGCAAUGGACGAAAGUCUGACCGAGCAACGCCGCGUGAGUGAAGAAGGUUUUCGGAUCGUAAAACUCUGUUGUUAGAGAAGAACAAGGACGUUAGUAACUGAACGUCCCCUGACGGUAUCUAAGCAGAAAGCCACGGCUAACUACGUGCCAGCAGCCGCGGUAAUACGUAGGUGGCAAGCGUUGUCCGGAUUUAUUGGGCGUAAAGCGAGCGCAGGCGGUUUCUUAAGUCUGAUGUGAAAGCCCCCGGCUCAACCGGGGAGGGUCAUUGGAAACUGGGAGACUUGGGUGCAGAAGAGGAGAGUGGAAUUCCAUGUGUAGCGGUGAAAUGCGUAGAUAUAUGGAGAAACACCAGUGGCGAAGGCGGCUCUUUGGUCUGUAACUGACGCUGAGGCUCGAAAGCGUGGGGAGCAAACAGG